AACGAACGCUGGCGGCAUGCCUAACACAUGCAAGUCGAACGAGACCUUCGGGUUUAGUGGCGCACGGGUGCGUAACGCGUGGGAACCUGCCCUUAGGUUCGGAAUAACUCCCCGAAAGGGGUGCUAAUAUCGGAUAAUGACUUCGGACCAAAGAUUUAUCGCCUUUGGAUGGGCCCGCGUUGGAUUGGCUGGUUGGUAGGGGAAAAGCCUACCAAGGCGACGAUCCAUAGCUGGUCUGAGAGGAUGAUCAGCCACACUGGGACUGAGACACGGCCCAGACUCGUACGGGAGGCAGGAGUGGGGAAUAUUGGACAAUGGGCGAAAGGCUGAUCCAGCAAUGCCGCGUGAGUGAUGAAGGCCUUAGGGUUGUAAAGCACUUUUACCCGGGAUGGUGAUGACGGUACCGGGAGAAGAAGCUCCGGCUAACUCCGUG
rnacentral:rRNA from 1 species